rnacentral:rRNA from 1 species
AUACGGAGGGUGCAAGCGUUACUCGGAAUCACUGGGCGUAAAGCGCGCGCAGGCGGGCUGAUAAGUUGGAUGUGAAAGCCUACGGCUCAACCGUAGAACUGCAUCCAAAACUGUCAGUCUAGAGUGUGGGAGAGGAAGAUGGAAUUAGUUGUGUAGGGGUAAAAUCCGUAGAGAUAACUAGGAAUACCAAAAGCGAAGGCAAUCUUCUGGAACACUACUGACGCUGAGGCGCGAAAGCGUGGGGAGCAAACAGGAUUAGAAACCCCUGUAGUCC